UCUGGGAUUAGAUACCCUGUUAUUUAAAAUGUAAUCAUAAAUACUUGAGUAGUAAUAGUUAUGGUCUUUAAACUUAAAAAAUUUGGCGGUAUUUUAGUCUAUUCAGAGGAACUUGUUUUGUAAUCGAUAAUCCGCGAUGUACCUCACUUAAAUUUGUUUAUCAAUUUAUAUACCGUCGUUAUAGAAUAUUUUAUAAGAAAAAUAAUUUUCAAUAAUUAAUAUAAUAAUAUAUAUCAGAUCAAGGUGUAGUUUAUAUUUAAGUAAUAAUGAGUUACAAUAAAUUUAUUUUUGGAUAUAGAUAUGAAAAAUCUAUUGAAAUUGGAUUUGAUAGUAAAAUUAAAUAGAUCAUUAAUUUGAUUUUAGCUCUAAAAUAUGUACAAAUCGCCCGUCCACUCUCUGAG
rnacentral:rRNA from 1 species